rnacentral:rRNA from 1 species
AGAGUUUGAUCCUGGCUCAGAGUGAACGCUGGCGGCGUGCUUAACACAUGCAAGUCGAACGGAUCAAAGUAGCUUGCUACUUUGGUUAGUGGCGCACGGGUGAGUAAUGUAUAGCUAACCUGCCCUUUAGUGGGGGACAACAGUUGGAAACGACUGCUAAUACCCCAUACUCCUUCUUGCCAAAAGGUGAGUUGGGAAAGAUUUAUUGCUAAAGGAUGGGGCUUUAUUGUAUCAGCUAGUUGGUGAGGUAAUGGCUCACCAAGGCUAUGACGCAUACCUGGUCUGAGAGGAUGAUCAGGCACACUGGAACUGAGACACGGUCCAGACUCCUACGGGAGGCAGCAGUGGGGAAUAUUGCACAAUGGAGGAAACUCUGAUGCAGCAACGCCGCGUGGAGGAUGACGCAUUUCGGUGUGUAAACUCCUUUUAUAAGGGAAGAUAAUGACGGUACCUUAUGAAUAAGCACCGGCUAACUCCGUGCCAGCAGCCGCGGUAA